GCUACUCGCAUUACUGGGAAACUUAUACAUCGACACCGAGAAUCCUGAGAGCGUAAGCAAAGGCCAUAUAACUCUUGAUAUACCGUCAUAUACGGUCGUUACGUUGUUCAGAAGAGCGUGAAAACUUGUGUUUAAGUAAGACCUUCCAACGUAGUCUGAUAGUUUUUGCAGUCUUCUUACGUAGAAACACAAGUUUCAAGCUACAAGUGUUGUCAGUAAAUCAUGCUUCCUGCUUUUCUGGCUGCAUUACGAAUAUAUGCACCAUAUAUAACGUUUCCAUUUGCUUUAGUAAUUGGUUUUGUUGGCUACAACGUUGAAGGCUUAUUUUCAGACAGGCGUACUCCUUACAAGAAAUUAAGCAUUGAAGAGGAACGGGAAGAGAGGAGAUUACAUGAUUUAGAAGGAAAGGAUACAACAUCAGUCGAUAGCUUAAAAGCUCGAACAUUUGUUCCUAAGACCAUUUUUGAAAAAAAUGUGUCACCAUCCCUACAAGAGAAACACAAUUGAAAUAGGCUUAAAAACAAUUUUUAAAUGUUGUUACUGCAUCUUAUGGUAUGAACAAUGUUAAAAGAAAUUGAAUUUUUGCAACUAUAGCAAAUCAUAUAAAUAGUUUUGAUUGUAUAAA